CAGUCGCCGCGGGAAUACGUAGGGUCCGAGCGUUGUCCGGAAUUAUUGGGCGUAAAGGGCUCGUAGGCGGCUUUGUAAGUUAGAGGUGAAAGCCUGGAGCUCAACUCCAGAAUUGCCUUUAAGACUGCAUCGCUUGAAUCCGGGAGAGGUGAGUGGAAUUCCGAGUGUAGAGGUGAAAUUCGUAGAUAUUCGGAAGAACACCAGUGGCGAAGGCGGCUCACUGGACCGGCAUUGACGCUGAGGUGCGAAAGCGUGGGGAGCAAACAGGAUUAGAUACCCCGGUAGUCCCUGUCUCUUAUAU
rnacentral:rRNA from 1 species